AGGAGCUUAUAGAAGAACAUUUAAUUUCACAUGAAGAGGUAGUGCUUGAUCAAUACAAUGAUCAGACUACUACUAUUAUUCCUCUUUCCCCCACAUGGCUCCUCGAGACGCCGGGUUACAAUGAACAGGGUCCCGGAGAGUACAUACACCAGGAGCUACCGACAGCCCUGGUUGUCCCUGAGGACUUUUUAAAUAAUCUCUCAGUGACUGCCGAAACGCCUAAAAUUUUAGAAUCUGACUACGUUGAAGAUUCCUCGCAACUGGAAGAAUACUUCAUUACAUCUUUCAGUGACCUACCGUCAGACUCAG